rnacentral:rRNA from 1 species
GAUGAACGCUGGCGGCGUGCCUAAUACAUGCAAGUCGAGCGAACAGAUAAGGAGCUUGCUCCUUUGACGUUAGCGGCGUACGGGUGAGUAACACGUGGGUAACCUACCUAUAAGACUGGAAUAACUCCGGGAAACCGGGGCUAAUGCCGGAUAACAUUUAGAACCGCAUGGUUCUAAAGUGAAAGAUGGUUUUGCUAUCACUUAUAGAUGGACCCGCGCCGUAUUAGCUAGUUGGUAAGGUAACGGCUUACCAAGGCAACGAUACGUAGCCGACCUGAGAGGGUGAUCGGCCACACUGGAACUGAGACACGGUCCAGACUCCUACGGGAGGCAGCAGUAGGGAAUCUUCCGCAAUGGGCGAAAGCCUGACGGAGCAACGCCGCGUGAGUGAUGAAGGUCUUCGGAUCGUAAAACUCUGUUAUUAGGGAAGAACAAAUGUGUAAGUAACUGUGCACGUCUUGACGGUACCUAAUCAGAAAGCCACGGCUAACUACGUG